rnacentral:rRNA from 1 species
GGGGAAUAUUGCACAAUGGGCGCAAGCCUGAUGCAGCCAUGCCGCGUGUGUGAAGAAGGCCUUAGGGUUGUAAAGCACUUUCAGCGAGGAGGAAGGCAUCACACUUAAUACGUGUGGUGAUUGACGUUACUCGCAGAAGAAGCACCGGCUAACUCCGUGCCAGCAGCCGCGGUAAUACGGAGGGUGCAAGCGUUAAUCGGAAUUACUGGGCGUAAAGCGCACGCAGGCGGUUUGUUAAGUCAGAUGUGAAAUCCCCGCGCUUAACGUGGGAACUGCAUUUGAAACUGGCAAGCUAGAGUCUUGUAGAGGGGGGUAGAAUUCCAGGUGUAGCGGUGAAAUGCGUAGAGAUCUGGAGGAAUACCGGUGGCGAAGGCGGCCCCCUGGACAAAGACUGACGCUCAGGUGCGAAAGCGUGGGGAGCAAAC